UACGUAGGGUCCAAGCGUUAUCCGGAAUCACUGGGCGUAAAGCGUGCGCAGGUGGUCUGUUAAGUGAGAUGUUAAAUCGUGUGGCUCAACCAUAUCGAUGCAUCUCAUACUGGCAGACUAGAGGAAGGCAGAGGCAAGUGGAAUUGGUAGUGUAGCAGUGAAAUGCGUAGAUAUUACCAGGAACACCAAUGGCGAAGGCAGCUUGCUGGGCCUUAUCUGACACUCAGGCACGAAAGCGU
rnacentral:rRNA from 1 species